rnacentral:rRNA from 1 species
GACGAACGCUGGCGGCGUGCUUAACACAUGCAAGUCGAACGGAAAGGCCCUGCUUUUGUGGUGUGCCCGAGUGGCGAACGGGUGCGUAACACGUGAGUAACCUGCUCUUGACUUUGGGAUAACUUCAGGAAACUGGGGCUAAUACCGUAUAGGAGCUCCUGCUGCAUGGUGGGGGUUGGAAAGUUUCGGCGGUUGGGGAUGGACUCGCGGCUUAUCAGCUUGUUGGUGGGGUAGUGGCUUACCAAGGCUUUGACGGGUAGCCGGCCUGAGAGGGUGACCGGCCACCUUGGGACUGAGGUACGGACCAGACUCCUACGGUAGGCAGCAGUGGGGAAUAUUGCACAAUGGGCGGAAGCCUGAUGCAGCAACGCCGCGUGCGGGAUGACGGCCUUCGGGUUGUAAAACGCUUUCGCCUGUGACGAAGCGUGAGUGACGGUAAUGGGUAAAGAAGCACCGGCUAACUACGUG